UACGAAGGGGACUAGCGUUGUUCGGAAUCACUGGGCGUAAAGCGCACGUAGGCGGAUGUGUCAGUCAGGGGUGAAAUCCCGGGGCUCAACCUCGGAACUGCCUUUGAUACAGCACGUCUCGAGUCCGGAAGAGGUGGGUGGAAUUCCUAGUGUAGAGGUGAAAUUCGUAGAUAUUAGGAAGAACACCGGUGGCGAAGGCGGCCCACUGGUCCGGUACUGACGCUGAGGUGCGAAAGCGUGGGGAGCAAACCGG
rnacentral:rRNA from 1 species